GCAGUCGAGCGAAUGGAUUGAGAGCUUGCUCUCAAGAAGUUAGCGGCGGACGGGUGAGUAACACGUGGGUAACCUGCCCAUAAGACUGGGAUAACUCCGGGAAACCGGGGCUAAUACCGGAUAAUAUUUUGAACUGCAUGGUUCGAAAUUGAAAGGCGGCUUCGGCUGUCACUUAUGGAUGGACCCGCGUCGCAUUAGCUAGUUGGUGAGGUAACGGCUCACCAAGGCAACGAUGCGUAGCCGACCUGAGAGGGUGAUCGGCCACACUGGGACUGAGACACGGCCCAGACUCCUACGGGAGGCAGCAGUAGGGAAUCUUCCGCAAUGGACGAAAGUCUGACGGAGCAACGCCGCGUGAGUGAUGAAGGCUUUCGGGUCGUAAAACUCUGUUGUUAGGGAAGAACAAGUGCUAGUUGAAUAAGCUGGCACCUUGACGGUACCUAACCAGAAAGCCACGGCUAACUACGUGCCAGCAGCCGCGGUAAUACGUAGGUGGCAAGCGUUAUCCGGAAUUAUUGGGCGUAAAGCGCGCGCAGGUGGUUUCUUAAGUCUGAUGUGAAAGCCCACGGCUCAACCGUGGAGGGUCAUUGGAAACUGGGAGACUUGAGUGCAGAAGAGGAAAGUGGAAUUCCAUGUGUAGCGGUGAAAUGCGUAGAGAUAUGGAGGAACACCAGUGGCGAAGGCGACUUUCUGGUCUGUAACUGACACUGAGGCGCGAAAGCGUGGGGA
rnacentral:rRNA from 1 species